rnacentral:misc_RNA from 1 species
UGCGGCUGGAUCCCCUCCUUUUAGGGAGUCUGCCAAGACCUUCGGGUCGAGGCUGACAUCUCAGGUCAGUCGUUCCUUCGGUGAAGGAACGGAGCAAGAGAAAAUGCCAGCGCGAAGCGCGGCGUCGCAUGUCACCACUACCCAGUUUUGAGAGAGCCCUGAGGGUCGGGCAGGGACCGAGUCAUUGGCCCUUGCGCGGGCCUAUAGCUCAGGUGGUUAGAGCGCACGCCUGAUAAGCGUGAGGUCGGUAGUUCAAAUCUACCUAGGCCCACCACUUCUGAACGCGGGGCUGUAGCUCAGCUGGGAGAGCGCGGGCUUUGCAAGCCUGAGGUCGUCGGUUCGAUCCCGAUCAGCUCCACCACUUCUGCUCUCUCGAGUUGCGCGAUGCUCGAUGCUCAUAGAUCGCAAUCUGCGAUCCGGUGGUUAUCGAGGAUCACGCAAUGUGUCUCGUGACACUCAUCGAUGUCACGGAAGGUCUUUGAAAAUCUAAUCUAAGUUUUUGAGUGAUCGAGAAGUGCACUUUUGUGUAUAUCGAGGUUGCUCACCUAUAGUGGAGAUCAAGCUACUAAGGGCGUACGGCGGAUGCCUUGGCGCAAGUAGGCGAAGAAGGACGCGGUUAGCUGCGAUAAGCUUCGGGGAGCUGCUAAACAAGCUUCGAUCCGGAGAUUUCCGAAUGGGGAAACCCGG